rnacentral:rRNA from 1 species
AGUGAACGCUGGCGGUAGGCCUAACACAUGCAAGUCGAACGGCAGCACAGUAAGAGCUUGCUCUUACGGGUGGCGAGUGGCGGACGGGUGAGGAAUACAUCGGAAUCUACUUUUUCGUGGGGGAUAACGUAGGGAAACUUACGCUAAUACCGCAUACGACCUACGGGUGAAAGCAGGGGAUCUUCGGACCUUGCGCGAUUGAAUGAGCCGAUGUCGGAUUAGCUAGUUGGCGGGGUAAAGGCCCACCAAGGCGACGAUCCGUAGCUGGUCUGCGAGGAUGAUCAGCCACACUGGAACUGAGACACGGUACAGACUCCUACGGGAGGAAGCAGUGGGGAAUAUUGGGCAAUGGGCGCAAGCCUGAUCCAGCCAUACCGCGUGAGUGAAGAAGGCCUUAGGGUUGUAAAGCCCUUUUGUUGGGAAAGAAAAGCAGCAGGUUAAUACCCCGCUGUUCUGACGGUACCCAAAGAAUAAGCACCGGCUAACUUCGUG